rnacentral:rRNA from 1 species
CUUCGGGUGUUGAGGAUGGCGGACGGGUGAGUAACGCGUAAGGAACUUGCCUCUUGGUCUGGGACAACUGUUGGAAACGACAGCUAAUACCGGAUAUUAUGAGAUUCUCGCAUGGGAAACUUAUGAAAGCUAUAUGCGCCAAGAGAGAGCCUUGCGUUCCAUUAGCUAGUUGGUGGGGUAACGGCCCACCAAGGCGACGAUGGAUAGCCGGCCUGAGAGGGUGAACGGCCACAAGGGGACUGAGACACGGCCCUUACUCCUACGGGAGGCAGCAGUGGGGAAUAUUGGACAAUGGGCCACAAGCCUGAUCCAGCAAUUCUGUGUGCACGAUGAAGGUCUUCGGAUUGUAAAGUGCUUUCAGUUGGGAAGAAGAAAGUGACGGUACCAACAGAAGAAGCGACGGCUAAAUACGUGCCAGCAGCCGCGGUAAUACGUAUGUCGCAAGCGUUAUCCGGAUUUAUUGGGCGUAAAGCGCGUCUAGGCGGAAAAAUAAGUCUGAUGUUAAAAUGCGGGGCUCAACUCCGUAUUGCGUUGGAAACUGUUUUUCUAGAGUACUGGAGAGGUGGGCGGAACUACAAGUGUAGAGGUGAAAUUCGUAGAUAUUUGUAGGAAUGCCGAUGGAGAAGUCAGCUCACUGGACAGAUACUGACGCUAAAGCGCGAAAGCGUGGGGAGCAAACA